CUUUGAUUUGUACUCAGAAUUGGCUGAAACCAUCUUUCGUCAACUUCAAAGAUCUAAAUUUGAGUGAAGAGUAUGAGCUGUUGGAAAAUGUUGUGGCAGGUAAAUUAUUAAUUUUUCAAUAAAUUCGUAUUUUUAUUAUGCGCAUUUGAUAUUGCUUAAUUAUUUGACUUGUUUCUCAUAUAUUGUUUUCCAUGCAUUUUAGAAAUUGGACAAGUCUUGAGUGGAGUAGAUGUUGGUCCUGCUACUGGUGUUGCACCAGCAACUGGGCUCUAAUUCCAUUUUAUGGUAAAAAACAUUAAUUUUUUACUAUUUUAUAUAUUAUGUAUUGCAUAUGUAUGUAUAUUUAUUUAGUGUAAUUUUAUGUACUGCAGGAGUGACUUUUCUUGGGAUAUUUUGGAGUCAAAUGUGACUUGUACUACAGAGCACAUGCCUAUGGUUUUUGAUAACGAAGUUGAUGUGGAACCU
rnacentral:lncRNA from 1 species